rnacentral:rRNA from 1 species
GACGAACGCUGGCGGCGUGCCUAACACAUGCAAGUCGAGCGGAGCUAGUAGCAAUAUUAGUUUAGCGGCGGACGGGUGAGUAACGCGUGGGCAACCUGCCUUCUACAGGGGGAUAACACAGGGACACUUGUGCUAAUACCGCAUAACAUACUUGAGGGACAUCCCUUGGGUAUCAAAGGAGCAAUCCGGUAGAAGAUGGGCCCGAGUCCGAUUAGCUAGUUGGAGGUGGAACGGACCACCAAGGCGACGAUCGGUAGCCGAACUGAGAGGUUGAUCGGCCACAGUGGGAGUGAGACACGGCCCAGACUCCGACGGGAGGCAGCAGUGGGGAAUAUUGCGAAAUGGGGGAGACCCUGACGCAGCAACGCCGCGUGAAGGAUGAAGGUCUUCGGAUUGUAAACUUCUUUAGUCGGGGACGAAGAAAUGACGGUACCCGAAGAAUAAGCCACGGCUAACUACGUGCCAGCCGCCGCCGUAACAC